AGCUCCAAUAGCGUAUAUUAAAGUUGUUGCGGUUAAAAAGCUCGUAGUUGGGUUUCUGCUGCAGCCCUACGGUCCGCGCUUUGCGCGAGUACUCGUAGCGGCGUCGGCAUCUCUCAGGUGCCCGCUUCCGCGCUUGGUUGCGCGGCGCAGGUGUCUGGGCGUUUACUUUGAGGAAAUUAGGGUGUUCACGGCAAGCGCGAGUUUGGAUAUGUUAGCAUGGAAUAAUAAUAAAGGGCCCCGGGUCUAUUUCGUUGGAUUCUGGAGCUGGGGCAAUGGUUAAUAGGGAUAAUUGGGGGCAUUCGUACUAACGCGUCAGAGGUGGAAUUCUUGGAUUGCGUUAUGACGAACUACUGCGAAAGCAUUUGCCAAGGGUGUUUUCGUUGAUCAAGAACGAAAGUAG
rnacentral:rRNA from 1 species